rnacentral:rRNA from 1 species
GAGCACGUAGGUGGGUUUGUAAGUCAGAUGUGAAAGCCUUCUGUUCAACAGAAGAAUUGCAUCUGAAACUGCGAGUCUUGAGUGUAGGAGGGGAGAAUGGAACCUCUGGUGGAGCGGUGAAAUGCGUAGAUAUCAGAAGGAACGCCAGCGGCGAAAGCGAUUCUCUGGCCUAUUACUGACACUCAGUGUGCGAAAGCUAGGGGAGCAAACGGGAUUAGAUACCCCGGUAGUCCUAGCCGUAAACGAUGGGCACUAAGUAGAGGG